ACACAUGCAAGUCGAGGGGCAGCAUCAUCAAAGCUUGCUUUGAUGGAUGGCGACCGGCGCACGGGUGAGUAACACGUAUCCAACCUGCCGACAACACUGGGAUAGCCUUUCGAAAGAAAGAUUAAUACCGGAUGGCAUAGUUUUCCCGCAUGGGAUAAUUAUUAAAGAAUUUCGGUUGUCGAUGGGGAUGCGUCCCAUUAGGCAGUUGGCGGGGUAACGGCCCACCAAACCUACGAUGGAUAGGGGUUCUGAGAGGAAGGUCCCCCACAUUGGAACUGAGACACGGUCCAAACUCCUACGGGAGGCAGCAGUGAGGAAUAUUGGUCAAUGGACGAGAGUCUGAACCAGCCAAGUAGCGUGAAGGAUGACUGCCCUAUGGGUUGUAAACUUCUUUUAUACGGGAAUAAAGUUAGCCACGUGUGGUUUUUUGUAUGUACCGUAUGAAUAAGGAUCGGCUAACUCCGUGCCAGCAGCCGCGGUAAUACGGAGGAUCCGAGCGUUAUCCGGAUUUAUUGGGUUUAAAGGGAGCGUAGGCGGGUUGUUAAGUCAGUUGUGAAAGUUUGCGGCUCAACCGUAAAAUUGCAGUUGAUACUGGCGACCUUGAGUGCAACAGAGGUAGGCGGAAUUCGUGGUGUAGCGGCGAAAUGCUUAGAUAUCACGAAGAACUCCGAUUGCGAAGGCAGCUUACUGGAUUGUAACUGACGCUGAUGCUCGAAAGUGUGGGUAUCAAACAGGAUUAGAUACCCUGGUAGUCCACACAGUAAACGAUGAAUACUCGCUGUUGGCGAUAUACAGUCAGCGGCCAAGCGAA
rnacentral:rRNA from 1 species